ACUGGCAGUAACUCUUCCUUUGUAAAACUUGUAAUCAGUGAACAAUGCUGACCUCCAAAUUCCAGUCUAUGCAGAAGCUAUAGCUUGGGGCUCUGCCUGC